UUCUUGCUGGCGAUUCCGUCCUGUUCUCCGCCCGCGGCUCUGUGCCCCCGCUCCUCCCCUGACACCGGCCCCGGCGUUCCUGCGGCCUUGCUCGGACCAGACAGGCAACCAACGUGGAAGAAACUGCCCCGGAGCACAACCAGAAUUGGGCUCUUGGAAUCUUCAUGUCUGCACUGGAAGGAUGCAUCAAAACCUCUACCAAAGCUGAGCAUCAGGCUUUGAGGGCACUCGGCCUGCUCUACACCACAUGCCUGGCAUUAAGGCAGGAGACGCAUUAUCUCUCAAAACAAUAUGGGAGUGUUCUGAAAGUAACAGGGUACGGCCUGGUACCAUAUCAUUAAAUAUUAACACAAGCGAUAACUAAUCUACCCAAGGUGAGUCAACCCUGACCACAGCUUUAACCAUUUACAAAAAAAAGACGAUUAACAGAUCAAGUCUAACCACUUACAUUAUUGCAAGACAUGCUACAUUAUAGUUCUGAGAGGAAAGGCACACAUGAAAAAGAUCCGAAUUUUAUUUCACUGUUUUGUAACGAACCCUGAGCAGUUCUUACGGCGUUACAGAACCCUGUUUUCAUUCAAACUGGAUUACUUUGACGUUUUCAGAAAACCAAACCCAAACCCACACACAAUCUGUCUCUGAAACAAACGGUGUCCUGCUGAACCGCCGUCUGGGCCCCGAAGCGCACGGCGGCCAACCCGAACUGGAACCCAAACCAGCGAGGGUUUUAUACGGGAUGGAUUGACAGCCACCUGCGCCAGCCACGCUGGUAAACACAACAGAAUGUCACGGCAGAAAGACAGGAAACAACAAAGCGAUGCAUUCUGUUUCCUACAGCCAAGACCUUGCAUGUGCUGUUAGCACGGCUCAACUGGCACUAUCAAUAGGCUCUCGCUCUCAAUUACCUAUUUAGUUUUGCUGACAUUUGGUUCUCAGCAACCUGUAACGUUACAUUCCCUACACAACAAGGUUAAGUGCCUAUAUUUAUCUGCUCAUGAUAUGGAAAUUUAUCGUAGUUGCCCACUUAUUACUGCACAGAAAGGCCCAUGUUCCACUCGCUCCAGGCUCACGUUCACUGAAAUGAGGUUAUCCAGGAAGCAGAAAGAGUUGCCAUGGAAACAAAACCAAUUUAACAGAGGCUGCUGCAAAACCUCCAUUAAUUAACCUAUUUACAGUAAAACCAUUUCUCCUCUCAUUAGCUGUAGUUGGUAUCAUUCCAAUGACACCACAAGAAAUAUACAGCUGCUCUUCUUGUGUAUUCCACGCUCCAGUGAGAAAUGCAGCAGCACAGUCUGGCUCCACAUGUUUAUCCUUCACGAUACAGCUUAAGCUAACGCGGUAAACAGGAAUUCACGAUUUGUGUCACCUUCGAGCACGCGAGCGGGGGUACAUCGAUUUGUGUUGCUUGUUUUGAAACAGAAAGGUCUGACUUAGAAUAUAAGUUUAAAAUUCAUUUUCACUCUGAAAUGCAGACUGUCAGUGGAUGUUUUCAAUAAACUGUGUUGACAAAAUGAAA